CAGAGGGUGGCAACAGUUGUUCGGAAAUUACUGGGCGUAAAGCGCGUGUAGGCGGCUAAGUAAGUCGGGCGUGAAAUCCCACGGCUCAACCGUGGAAGUGCACUCGAAACUGCAUAGCUAGAGUCCUGGAGAGGAAGGUGGAAUGCUUGGUGUAGAGGUGAAAUUCGUAGAUAUCAAGCGGAACACCGGUGGCGAAGGCGGCCUUCUGGACAGUGACUGACGCUGAGACGGCGAA
rnacentral:rRNA from 1 species